rnacentral:tmRNA from 1 species
GGGGGUGUUUCAGAUUCGACUUGUGCGCAAGGUGACGUUAAGCAUGCCGAAGUCCCUGCUUCGUUAAAAAGGGAAAUUAAACAAAUAAAAUAACAACAAUCAAAAUUACGAGCUCGCUGCAGCCUAAUAGCAGUCGUCGCGACGGAAAGGUCUGCGGUUCCGACGUCGGCGUGUUUCAGCAGAGAACGGUUCGGGGAAGCGUCCGGAUUUCCGAACGGCAUUACGGACUCGGGGAGUAAGGGAUUUGCCUGAUAGACUUUACGCCCGACAAAAACAAUCAACGCUAAGCAUGUAGAAAAAUUUUACCGACCGCAUGAGUACAGGGGUGCAAGUCCGCUCACCUCCACCA